GGACCCGGGCGCAAGGGACCGAACAUCAGUAGGGAAGUCGGAGAUGCUCUGUGGCGAGAAAAGCUGUGCGUAUUGAUUAGGCGCCCGUACCGCAAACCGACACAGGUAGAUGAGGAGAGAAUCCUAAGGCCAACGGGAGAAGGGUUGUUAAGGAACUCGGCAAAUUGACCCCGUAACUUCGGGAUAAGGGGAGCCUCCUACGGGAGGCCGCAGUGAAUAGGCCCAAGCAACUGUUUACCAAAAACACAGGUCUCUGCUAAAUCGAAAGAUGACGUAUAGGGGCUGACGCCUGCCCGGUGCCGGAAGGUUAAGAGGAGAGCUUAGCGCAAGCGAAGGUUCGAAUUGAAGCCCCGGUAAACGGCGGCCGUAACUAUAACGGUCCUAAGGUAGCGAAAUUCCUUGUCAGGUAAGUUCUGACCCGCACGAAUGGCGUAAUGAUUUGGGCACUGUCUCAACAGCCCGCCCGGCGAAAUUGUAGUACUGGUGAAGAUGCCAGUUACCCGCAACUAGACGGAAAGACCCCAUGGAGCUUUACUGUAGCUUAAUACUGAAGAUCGGUAAUGUAUGUACAGGAUAGGUGGGAGCCUAGGAAACCCGGGCGUCAGCUUGGGCGGAGGCAACCUUGGAAUACCACCCUUGUAUUGCUGGUUUUCUAACCUGCGGCCAUGAAUCUGGUCGGGGGACACUGUUAGGUGGGCAGUUUGACUGGGGCGGUCGCCUCCAAAAGCGUAACGGAGGCGCUCAAAGGUUGGCUCAGCACGGACGGAAAUCGUGCAUAGAGUGCAAACGCAUAAGCCAACUUGACUGCGAGACCGACGGGUCGAGCAGGUACGAAAGUAGGAGUUAGUGAUCCGGUGGUAUGUGAGUGGAAAUGCCAUCGCUCAACGGAUAAAAGCUACCCUGGGGAUAACAGGCUGAUCUCCCCCAAGCGUCCACAGCGACGGGGAGGUUUGGCACCUUGAUGUCGGCUCGUCACAUCCUGGGGCUGGAUUCGGUCCCAAGGGUUCGGCUGUUCGCCGAUUAAAGUGGCACGCGAGCUGGGUUCAGAACGUCGUGAGACAGUUCGGUCCCUAUCUGUUGCGGGCGCAGGAGAUUUGAAGGGAGCUGUCCUUAGUACGAGAGGACCGGGAUGGACAGACCUCUGGUGCACCAGUUGUCGUGCCAACGGCACAGCUGGGUAGCUACGUCUGGACGAGAUAAACGCUGAAAGCAUCUAAGUGUGAAACUCCCCCUAAGAUAAGAUCUCCCAUCCUUUACGGAGUAAGGGACGACAAAGACUAUGUCGUUGAUAGGUCGGAAGUGUAAGUGCAGUAAUGCAUUGAGCUGACCGAUACUAAUAACCCGAGGGCUUGACCU
rnacentral:rRNA from 1 species